UGCGGCCUUCUUUUCGCCUGAAUGAAGGAUGGGUCGGGUGUAUCCUUCAAUAGGUAGCAUUUCCCAAGAUGCCUUGCGGGCCGGCCGGCAGAAAAACUUAAAAACAAUGGCGGACAGUGAAGCGGGAGCUGUCGGAGAGGAUUGCGCUUAUAAAUGACCAAAAGAGAAAACCAGGGAAUUUAUUAAGCUUAGGGCGGAGAUGGACCACAUGAUCACCGGAGCAAAGUAUUCGGCGGCUGUGGCAUGGAGACUAUUCUGGAGAAAAUGGGCAUCCAGGGGAAGGUGCCAGCGAUGAGCUUCUGGAGCUGAUCUGGGAGGACAUGAGGCUGCAGAGCAGCAGAGGGCACAGGAGAGAAGGAAGAACUUUGACAGCUUUUUACUUUGCUAGAAAAAAAUGGUUAAUGAAGAUUAAACAUGUACAUGUAAAAGAAAUAUCUAAAUAAAAUCAGUUCUGCAUUAAA